rnacentral:lncRNA from 1 species
UUUUCUCCUUUUCACAGGUGUUGACUGUACCCUGGUUUUGUUUAUUGGGUUUCAAUUAGAGCUUAUUUUAUAAAGUGAUCUGAACAUAACCAAGUAAGAGAAUAAAAAACCCUAAAAUAAAAUAAGGAUCUGUUGAGUGUGAGAGAGUGCUCCUAAAGAUAAAGAAAAACAAGAUGCUCAGUUGCCACAGCCUCAGGUGCCACUGUAAUCCCUGGAAGAGAUGAAGAGUAAGAACUUGGAGGCUACUCAAAGCAAAGAUAUUGCAGCUCCCCCACCCCUACACCCCAAGCCCCAUUUCCCCAGGCCUUGCUCUGCCACCUGGAAUCAGCCUGGCUGGGGCUUGGGCACAGGGAAUGGGGCUAGGCACACUUAGGCUCAGAAGCAGAGAGGCUGACCAGAGAGCCUGUUUUCAGGGAGGGACAGAAUAAGGCAUAGCACUAGUGUAAGGUCCUAGCACAUUACAGGCGAAGGGGGUCUAAGGGCUACCGUAGUCUAAUCUGUGCAUUUUUACAGAGUAGUGGACAGAGGCCCAUAGGGAUUCAGAGGCUUGCUCAAGGACAAAUGGCAGUAUCAAAACACUCUAGCAGCACCAGGCUCACAGUAGGUGCAAAAAAGAUGUGAGCUCUUUCCCCUUCCCUUAAGGACAGCAACAAAAAGGCUGGAAAACUUCCUCAUUGCCCCUCACUUCCAGGCCUGGGUUCUUCUGCUUUGGCUACAAUUUUUGCUAUGCUAGGAUAGCCAGUACAUUCUGCCAUCACUGAGGUUCUUCUCUGGCUUUCUCCUUUGAUUUACUUGGACAGAACAUUUCUGAACUGAACCAAACCAAACCAAACAAAAAUACUCCCAGUCAUGUAGAAAGUUAUAGGCUAUCUGAUUCUAAAGGGCUGGUAAUCACUAAUAUAAUAGAUGCUGCUUAGGACUGUAGCCUGAUCUUCUGGAAGUAGAAGCAAGAUGCAAUAUGCUACACACGACAAUAACUUUUGAAAAAUCGGUUGCCCUUAUUAUGAAUGAAACUUACAUUAUUGAAACAAAAUAAAUAAGAAAACAAAAACCUGUAAUUCUACCAGUCAGCAAGACUAUUACCAUAUUAUGUGCCCUUCCAGUUUCUAUAUAUAACAUGUAAUAUAUAUAGAUAUAUAGAUAUAGAUAGAUUUUAAAAAUUGAGGUGA